CAGGGUCAGCGUCUAAUGCCAACUUCACUCUCCUCCAACUCCAGGGUAACAGCCAUUCCUCGUUCAACCCUUGACGCCCUCGUCGUCAUGAACUCAUCUUGACCAAUCAAAGCACAUCAACCAAUUUCCACAUUUCAUCUAUAAUAUCACGUUGCAUUUUUGUAGGUGCCCCUAAAAUAGUUGAUUGACGCGUCAUGGAUUAUCAAAAGACGACCUAAAUCCAUGACAUUUUCCAUCUUUCCCAUAAUAAACCUCAAAAACGACAUGUAAACAAGUUGAUCUGUAACAUGAGGUUUGGGGUUGGUAGUUAACAGACAGGAUGAACUGACAUGAGGUUUGGGGUUGGUAGUUAACAGACUGGAUGAACUGACAUGAGGUUUGGGGUUGGUAGUUAACAGACAGGAUGAACUGACAUGAGGUUUGGGGUUGGUAGUUAACAGACUGGAUGAACUGACAUGAGGUUUGGGGUUGGUAGUUAACAGACAGGAUGAACUGACAUGAGGUUUGGGGUUGGUAGUUAACAGACAGGAUGAACUGACAUGAGGUUUGGGGUUGGUAGUUAACAGACAGGAUGAACUGACAUGAGGUUUGGGGUUGGUAGUUAACAGACAGGAUGAACUGACAUGAGGUUUGGGGUUGGUAGUUAACAGACAGGAUGAACUGACAUGAGGUUUGGGGUUGGUAGUUAACAGACAGGAUGAACUGACAUGAGGUUUGGGGUUGGUAGUUAACAGACAGGAUGAACUGACAUGAGGUUUGGGGUUGGUAGUUAACAGACAGGAUGAACUGACAUGAGGUUUGGGGUUGGUAGUUAACAGACAGGAUGAACUGACAUGAGGUUUGGGGUUGGUAGUUAACAGACAGGAUGAACUGACAUGAGGUUUGGGGUUGGUAGUUAACAGACAGGAUGAACUGACAUGAGGUUUGGGGUUGGUAGUUAACAGACAGGAUGAACUGACAUGAGGUUUGGGGUUGGUAGUUAACAGACAGGAUGAACUGACAUGAGGUUUGGGGUUGGUAGUUAACAGACUGGAUGAACUGACAUGAGGUUUGGGGUUGGUAGUUAACAGACAGGAUGAACUGACAUGAGGUUUGGGGUUGGUAGUAAUAAAGUAAUAUAGUCGUUUUAAAGACACCACUGCCCCACAUCCCCACAGAAAAUAUAUGAAGCACAGACAGUAAACUCUUCAGAACACAAUUCAAUUAUCACCUUAUAGAUUCUAACCAUAAAUAACCCAUGUGAGGGCACUUUGUCAUACUGUAUAAUCACCACCACUAUCAAUACAACUCAGUGUUCAUCACCAAGAUCUACAUAAACAUCGUGGUUCAUUGACAGGAACACAUACGGACUGAGGCCACACCAUACAACACUGCAGAGGUAU